rnacentral:misc_RNA from 1 species
GAUGAAGAACGUAGCGAAAUGCGAUAAGUAAUGCGAAUUGCAGAAUUCAGUGAAUCAUCGAAUCUUUGAACGCACCUUGCGCCCUUUGGCCAUUCCGAAGGGCAUGCCUGUUUGAGUAUCAUGAACACCUCAACUCUCAUGGCUCGCCAUGAUGAGCUUGGAUUUGGGGGUCUUGCUGGCCUGUGGUCGGCUCCUCUCAAAUGGAUCAGCUUGCCAGUGUUUGGUGGCAUCACAGGUGUGAUAACUAUCUGCGCUUGUGGUUUUCCAUCAGAUAACCUUCAGUGAUGGAGGUUCGCUGGAGCUCAUAAACGUCUCCCCUAAGCGGGGACAGCCCUUUGAAUGUUUGAUCUCAAAUCAGGUAGGACUACCCGCUGAACUUAAGCAUAUCAAUAAGCGGAGGA